AAAUUGAAGAGUUUGAUCAUGGCUCAGAUUGAACGCUGGCGGCAGGCCUAACACAUGCAAGUCGAGCGGCAGCGGGAAAGUAGCUUGCUACUUUUGCCGGCGAGCGGCGGACGGGUGAGUAAUGCCUGGGAAAUUGCCCAGUCGAGGGGGAUAACAGUUGGAAACGACUGCUAAUACCGCAUACGCCCUACGGGGGAAAGCAGGGGACCUUCGGGCCUUGCGCGAUUGGAUAUGCCCAGGUGGGAUUAGCUAGUUGGUGAGGUAAUGGCUCACCAAGGCGACGAUCCCUAGCUGGUCUGAGAGGAUGAUCAGCCACACUGGAACUGAGACACGGUCCAGACUCCUACGGGAGGCAGCAGUGGGGAAUAUUGCACAAUGGGGGAAACCCUGAUGCAGCCAU
rnacentral:rRNA from 1 species